CUUGUGGGAGAGGUAAUAUCUUUUAUUAGGUGGAGAAAACAAAUUAGCUUUCAGGUACACAAGCCCUUCUUGACAUUAUUGUUACUGUUAUUAUCCCAUAUUGGUGCUAUUAGAAAUGAGGGCAUUGCAUUAGAGGAGAAGCACAUUAUGCAAUGUUUAGACCUGCUGGUAACUGCUCUCUGCUGACAGGUAUUUGCUUAAUGAUAUGUUGGAGCGAAAGCCAGCAGCAAGGACAAGCAUUGGAGGGAGCUGAGAGUGUUGAACUCUGCCUGGUCUGGCCUUGCCUGGACCUCCUAGAGUUGUGUGAUGCCUCCCACCAAAAAGGGAACGAGGGCCUUCUGGAGGUUUCUCUCACCAUGGCUUUAAGGACACUCCUAAAUUGCCUCUUCUCUGCUUCCAGCAGGAUCCUGACUCUAGCACGUUCCCAGACUGAGUCCCUCGUGCCCUCCCUGGUCCCAUGGGAUGUACGAAGCCUCCAGAGCCGCCCUGGCUUGCUUGCAAAGGGUCAGGAGGUCCUUCUGCUCCUGCCCGUGCUGGAGGCAAUGACUCUUGUGAGUAUGAAUGCGACUAGUCAUGUUCCCAGUGUCAUGUGCUGUCUAUGGCGGGUGGCAGAGCCAGUUUUUCUGCUCUGAAAGUGGGACUGGGGAGGAGACGGCACCACUCAAAUACCCAGAUCCAGGGUAGCUGCCAGCCAGGCAUUGAGGAAGCCGCUUGCCUUUUUCAGCUUCAGGUGUGACGGUCUCGUGCCCCAGAGCUCUUUGGCUUCAGUGAAAUGUCGACAAUCCUGAAAUGGUUUGGACGGGAAGAUAAGGAAAGAGAGGAAAAGGACAAGGGAGAAGAGAAGGAAGUAGAGGAGAAGGAGAAGACUGAGGGAGAAAAAGAGAAGGAUGAAGAGGAAAAGGGAGAUGGGGAAGAGGACAGGAGGAGCAGCUCUGAUAGCAACUUGGAGGAGGACCAUGGAAGCGACAAGGAUGAUAAGGCAGACAAAGAUUAGCCUUUGUGAGCCGGAGCGACAGCGCGUGUGCCCUGCACACACUGAGGAGGUGGGGAUGCAAACAGCAGCACGUGCUGGAGGGCACUUUGGCCACUUUUAGCCAAAUAAAGGUAUCUGUGGGCUCCAAAGAGAAAUGCUGUUUAUUCAUC